rnacentral:rRNA from 1 species
UACGAGAGGCCCCAAACGUUAUUCGGAAUUACUGGGCUUAAAGAGUUCGUAGGCGGCAUUGCAAGUAGGGUGUGAAAAGCCCUCGGCUCAACCGAGGAAUUGCGCUCUAAACUGCAGUGCUUGAGGAAGCUAGAGGUGAGCAGAACAGAUGGUGGAGCGGUGAAAUGCGUUGAUAUCAUCUGGAAUACCCGGAGGCGAAGGCGGCUCACUGGGGCUUUUCUGACGCU